rnacentral:tRNA from 1 species
CCUUCGAUAGCUCAGUUGGUAGAGCGGUGGACUGUAGACGGUGGUUGAGAAAACAGCGCGGAUAUCCAUAGGUCGCUGGUUCAAAUCCGGCUCGAAGGA